rnacentral:rRNA from 1 species
CAGGACGAACGCUGGCGGCGUGCCUAAUACAUGCAAGUCGAACGGUCUUUCUAUGGAAGCUUGCUUCCACUGAGAAGAUAGUGGCGAACGGGUGAGUAACACGUGGGUAACCUGCCCAUAAGAGGGGGAUAACAUCCGGAAACGGGUGCUAAUACCGCAUAGUUUUCUUGAUCGCAUGAUCGGGAAAGGAAAGACGGCCUUUGUGCUGUCGCUUAUGGAUGGACCCGCGGCGUAUUAGUUAGUUGGUGAGGUAACGGCUCACCAAGACGAUGAUACGUAGCCGACCUGAGAGGGUGAUCGGCCACAUUGGGACUGAGACACGGCCCAAACUCCUACGGGAGGCAGCAGUAGGGAAUCUUCCGCAAUGGACGAAAGUCUGACGGAGCAACGCCGCGUGAGUGAAGAAGGUUUUCGGAAUCGUAAAACUCUGUUGUCAGAGAAGAACAAGUUGGAGAGUAACUGCUCCAGCCUUGACGGUAUCUGACCAGAAAGCCACGGCUAACUACGUGCCAGCAGCAGC